UGUGUUUGAAUGAAACUGCAGUGCGGUGGUUCUCUUCCCUCGAUUUUCACCAAACCAAUGAAUAGGAAUACAACAGAAAACAAAAAACGAGGAAAAGCACAGUUUGUUUGAAACGGUAAACCAUGCAAGGACAAACAUUACCGUAUCCAGUAAUUCCUCGAAGUCCAUAACAAGAUGUCGUGGUACCCGACAAUGAAUAAAUAACCACAUUGUGAGAAAUUUCAGGACGUCCUUAAUUCCUUCAAGUGAAACCGAAAGUUUACUGUUCGGUGCUAGUCUUUUGAAACCUGUCAAAUCUCUUUUUCAAAUCCCCGCGAUAUUAUGGAUCCUUUCUUCGAAAGAUUAUCCAGGAAUUCAAGCCCUAAACAAACACCAAUUCCGUCGCACCAAAACCGCCAGAGAUAACUCUAUAAAACACCUAUAAAAUAUAAAACCAUCAAAUAAACAAACGCAGGCGACAAUAGCUUGAGCAAACAUGGCCCAAAGACCCUCCAACAUUUUUUAUUAUCCUUUUAUCGGGCUCUUAGCCACCGAGCGCUAAUUGUUUCGAUAAACAAGGAGCAUCAUCUGCAUAAAAGGGAAAUUUUCGGAAUUGGUCCAAGGACGUGCCCUCGUACCCUUGUUGCGGCGUAACUAAAUCGUCGGCUCCGAAGCAAAUCGCCGCUGUAUUUGACACCGGUCGUUCUUUGGAAGAACGUUAAUGGUGCCGAAGAAGGAUGGAUUCUGAAGAUGAAUUAACGUUACUUUGCGCUAAGUAAAGCAAUUUCGUAAAGUGCUUCUCAAAUGAUAACAAUAUAGCGGAACCGAUGUCUGAUUUCAUAUUGCCAGCCUUGGUUUUAAGAGUCGAAAUUUCCGAUUCGAGUCCGCCCCUGCCGCGAGGUGACAGAUUCGUGACGAGGACCCAUCUUCGAGCCGAGAUAUUUUAAUAAUAAUUCCGCAAUUGUUUGAUUCUGUCGGUUUGCCACCUGGUUAAUUCACAGUGGAAAAAACACAUUAAGUUGAUGAAUAAAAAAUAAUACCCAGAGGUGCGCAACUAGCUAACCCUCAAUCAAGCACAUAUACUACGCAGGUAAAUGUCAUGUUCGUAAUUAAUCUUUGAUUAGUUCUAACGGCUUAUUAUCAGUUACAUCUGUAAGGACAAAUUGGUCGACCUAGUUCAUUUGAGCGAGGUUAAUGAAUGCUGUAAUCUGUUCUAAGUAUAAAUGCGUAUUGAUCGGUGCUAUUUAUACCAUAUUUUAACUAAUUAAUAUUUAUAACGAAAGGGAUUACAUAUAAUGGAGGCAGCAAGGUGCAGUUCCAAAUAUACGAAAUGUUUAAUUCAGCACAAGAAAUUUCUCUGUGGAGACUGUAAUUUUAAUUUGAAUUAAAUAUGAUGCCAAACUUAAUUACAUAUGUACUUAGACGUGUUGCUGAAGAUUUACUUUUAAAUUUUAUUGUCGUGGUCAUUCGUAAAUAAACAGUUAAAUUGGGAGAAAUUGUAGUAUUGUAAUGGUUACAUUUAACAAACUAAAUUCUUCAUGUGUUUAUUGUUCAACUUGGUUGAAGUUUAGACAAAAUGCUUCCUUAUGCUUGAAAAUGUAUAUUACUUUCGUUGUUGUAUUAAGCGAAAA